CAGCACCUCAAGUGGUCAGGAUGAUUAUUGGGCCUAAAGCAUCCGUAGCCGGCUCUGUAAGUUUUCGGUUAAAUCUGUACGCUCAACGUACAGGCUGCCUGGAAUACUGCAGAGCUAGGGAGUGGGAGAGGUAGACGGUACUCGGUAGGAAGGGGUAAAAUCCUUUGAUCUAUUGAUGACCACCUGUGGCGAAGGCGGUCUACCAGAACACGUCCGACGGUGAGGGAUGAAAGCUGGGGGAGCAAACCGGAUUAGAGACCCGCGUAGUCC
rnacentral:rRNA from 1 species